rnacentral:tRNA from 1 species
GCCUCUGUAGCUCAGUUGGCUAGAGCAGCUGAUUUGUAAUCAGCAGGUCGUGGGUUCGAGUCCCUCCAGAGGCU